GCCCCGCUGGCGAAACUGGUACACGCUCGCGGCUCAAAACCGCGUGCCCUUUUGGGCUUGGGGGUUCGAGUCCCCCGCGGGGCACCA
rnacentral:tRNA from 1 species